rnacentral:rRNA from 1 species
UACGUAGGGUGCGAGCGUUGUCCGGAAUUAUUGGGCGUAAAGAGCUCGUAGGCGGUUUGUUGCGUCGGCCGUGAAAACCUGCAGCUUAACUGUGGGCCUGCGGCCGAUACGGGCAGGCUAGAGUUCGGUAGGGGAGACUGGAAUUCCUGGUGUAGCGGUGAAAUGCGCAGAUAUCAGGAGGAACACCCGUGGCGAAGGCGGGCCCCUGGCCGUACCGUCGACGCUGAGGCGCGAAGGCUAAGGGAGCGUA